rnacentral:rRNA from 1 species
GACCAACGCUGGCGGCGUGCCUAAUACAUGCAAGUAGAACGCACAGUUUAUACCGUAGCUUGCUACACCAUAGACUGUGAGUUGCGAACGGGUGAGUAACGCGUAGGUAACCUGCCUGGUAGCGGGGGAUAACUAUUGGAAACGAUAGCUAAUACCGCAUAAUAUUAAUUAUUGCAUGAUAAUUAAUUGAAAGGUGCAAUUGCACCACUACCAGAUGGACCUGCGUUGUAUUAGCUAGUAGGUGAGGUAACGGCUCACCUAGGCGACGAUACAUAGCCGACCUGAGAGGGUGAUCGGCCACACUGGGACUGAGACACGGCCCAGACUCCUACGGGAGGCAGCAGUAGGGAAUCUUCGGCAAUGGACGAAAGUCUGACCGAGCAACGCCGCGUGAGUGAAGAAGGUUUUCGGAUCGUAAAGCUCUGUUGUAAGAGAAGAACGGGUGUGAGAGUGGAAAGUUCACACUGUGACGGUAUCUUACCAGAAAGGGACGGCUAACUACGUG